rnacentral:lncRNA from 1 species
CAGGAUCGUUGAGCUUGCCUUUACGAGUGAGAUAUUUCAGUCCUUAAUCAGUCUUGUGGAGUGAGGAGGCCAUUACUGGUAAUAUAAUGAGUGGAGAAUUUUAAAAUCCUCAUUGAAUAUCUUCGAAGAUUAUGCCUGAUCUUUUGGCCUUCUUGAGUUAAAUGAGUGGUGUCACCUCAUGGUACAUAAGGAUCUCACCUAUUAAUUGCAUAGAUUGUCAAUUAGGAGCUGAGAGUGUGGAGAGAUUUUAGCCUUUAUAUGCUCUCAUGUUGGGGUAUUUAUUGUUUUUGGCCUUUUUUGCAUGGUGUGGAUGGUUGCCAUGAUA